GUCGAGCGGACUUUAAAAGCUUGCUUUUAAAGUUAGCGGCGGACGGGUGAGUAACACGUGGGCAACCUGCCUGUAAGACUGGGAUAACUUCGGGAAACCGGAGCUAAUACCGGAUAAUCCUUUUCCUCUCAUGAGGAAAAGCUGAAAGACGGCAUCUCGCUGUCACUUACAGAUGGGCCCGCGGCGCAUUAGCUAGUUGGUGAGGUAACGGCUCACCAAGGCAACGAUGCGUAGCCAACCUGAGAGGGUGAUCGGCCACACUGGGACUGAAACACGGCCCAAACUCCUACGGGAGGCAGCAGUAGGGAAUCUUCCGCAAUGGACAAAAGUCUGACGGAGCAACGCCGCGUGAGUGAUGAAGGUUUUCGGAUCGUAAAGCUCUGUUGUUAGGGAAAAACAAGUACAAAAGUAACUGCUUGUACCUUGACGGUACCUAACCAGAAAGCCACGGCUAACUACGUGCCAGCAGCCGCGGUAAUACGUAGGUGGCAAGCGUUGUCCGGAAUUAUUGGGCGUAAAGCGCGCGCAGGCGGUCCUUUAAGUCUGAUGUGAAAGCCCACGGCUCAACCGUGGAGGGUCAUUGGAAACUGGGGGACUUGAGUGCARAARAGAARAGUGGAAUUCCACGUGUAGCGGUGAAAUGCGUAGAGAUGUGGAGGAACACCAGUGGCGAAGGCGACUCUUUGGUCUGUAACUGACGCUGAGGCGCGAAAGCGUGGGGAGCAAACAGGAUUAGAUACCCUGGUAGUCCACGCCGUAAACGAUGAGUGCUAAGUGUUAGAGGGUUUCCGCCCUUUAGUGCUGCAGCAAACGCAUUAAGCACUCCGCCUGGGGAGUACGGCCGCAAGGCUGAAACUCAAAGGAAUUGACGGGG
rnacentral:rRNA from 2 species